rnacentral:tRNA from 1 species
CAAGAGCUUAUUUYCCUCCCUAACUA